UGACUUUGCUUGAACAUAUGGAGGGAGUU
rnacentral:piRNA from 1 species